CCUACGGGGGGCAGCAGUGGGGAAUAUUGCACAAUGGGGGAAACCCUGAUGCAGCAACGCCGCGUGAGUGAAGAAGUAUUUCGGUAUGUAAAGCUCUAUCAGCAGGGAAGAAGAAAGACGGUACCUGACUAAGAAGCCCCGGCUAACUACGUGCCAGCAGCCGCGGUAAUACGUAGGGGGCAAGCGUUAUCCGGAUUUACUGGGUGUAAAGGGAGCGUAGACGGCUGUGCAAGUCUGAAGUGAAAGCCCGUGGCUCAACCGCGGAACUGCUUUGGAAACUGUAUAGCUUGAGUACUGGAGAGGUAUGCGGAAUGCGCAGUGUAGCGGUGAAAUGCUUAGAUAUUGCGCAGAACUCCGAUUGCGAAGGCAGCAUACCGGCGGCGAUCUGACGCUGAGGCACGAAAGCGUGGGUAUCGAACAGGAUUAGAUACCCGAGUAGUC
rnacentral:rRNA from 1 species